rnacentral:rRNA from 1 species
AGAGUUUGAUCAUGGCUCAGAUUGAACGCUGGCGGCAGGCCUAACACAUGCAAGUCGAGCGGUAGCACAGAGAGCUUGCUCUCGGGUGACGAGCGGCGGACGGGUGAGUAAUGUCUGGGAAACUGCCUGAUGGAGGGGGAUAACUACUGGAAACGGUAGCUAAUACCGCAUAAUGUCGAAAGACCAAAGUGGGGGACCUUCGGGCCUCAUGCCAUCAGAUGUGCCCAGAUGGGAUUAGCUAGUAGGUGGGGUAACGGCUCACCUAGGCGACGAUCCCUAGCUGGUCUGAGAGGAUGACCAGCCACACUGGAACUGAGACACGGUCCAGACUCCUACGGGAGGCAGCAGUGGGGAAUAUUGCACAAUGGGCGCAAGCCUGAUGCAGCCAUGCCGCGUGUGUGAAGAAGGCCUUCGGGUUGUAAAGCACUUUCAGCGGGGAGGAAGGCGGUGAGGUUAAUAACCUCAUCGAUUGACGUUACCCGCAGAAGAAGCACCGGCUAACUCCGUGCCAGCAGCCGCGGUAAUACGGAGGGUGCAAGCGUUAAUCGGAAUUACUGGGCGUAAAGCGCACGCAGGCGGUCUGUCAAGUCGGAUGUGAAAUCCCCGGGCUUAACCUGGGAACUGCAUUCGAAACUGGCAGGCUAGAGUCUUGUAGAGGGGGGUAGAAUUCCAGGUGUAGCGGUGAAAUGCGUAGAGAUCUGGAGGAAUACCGGUGGCGAAGGCGGCCCCCUGGACAAAGACUGACGCUCAGGUGCGAAAGCGUGGGGAGCAAACAGGAUUAGAUACCCUGGUAGUCCACGCCGUAAACGAUGUCGAUUUGGAGGUUGUGCCCUUGAGGCGUGGCUUCCGGAGCUAACGCGUUAAAUCGACCGCCUGGGGAGUACGGCCGCAAGGUUAAAACUCAAAUGAAUUGACGGGGGCCCGCACAAGCGGUGGAGCAUGUGGUUUAAUUCGAUGCAACGCGAAGAACCUUACCUGGUCUUGACAUCCACAGAACUUAGCAGAGAUGCUUUGGUGCCUUCGGGAACUGUGAGACAGGUGCUGCAUGGCUGUCGUCAGCUCGUGUUGUGAAAUGUUGGGUUAAGUCCCGCAACGAGCGCAACCCUUAUCCUUUGUUGCCAGCGGUUCGGCCGGGAACUCAAAGGAGACUGCCAGUGAUAAACUGGAGGAAGGUGGGGAUGACGUCAAGUCAUCAUGGCCCUUACGACCAGGGCUACACACGUGCUACAAUGGCAUAUACAAAGAGAAGCGACCUCGCGAGAGCAAGCGGACCUCAUAAAGUAUGUCGUAGUCCGGAUUGGAGUCUGCAACUCGACUCCAUGAAGUCGGAAUCGCUAGUAAUCGUAGAUCAGAAUGCUACGGUGAAUACGUUCCCGGGCCUUGUACACACCGCCCGUCACACCAUGGGAGUGGGUUGCAAAAGAAGUAGGUAGCUUAACCUUCGGGAGGGCGCUUACCACUUUGUGAUUCAUGACUGGGGUGAAGUCGUAACAAGGUAACCGUAGGGGAACCUGCGGUUGGAUCACCU